rnacentral:rRNA from 1 species
CAAAUGAAUUGACGGGACCCGCACAAGCGGUGGAUGAUGUGGUUAAUUCGAUGCAACGCGAAAACCUUACCCACCUUUGACAUGUACGGAAGUUGCCAGAGAUGGCUUCGUGCUCGAAAGAGAGCCGUAACACAGGUGCUGCAUGGCUGUCGUCAGCUCGUGUCGUGAGAUGUUGGGUUAAGUCCCGCAACGAGCGCAACCCUUGUCAUUAGUUGCUACGAAAGGGCACUCUAAUGAGACUGCCGGUGACAAACCGGAGGAAGGUGGGGAUGACGUCAAGUCCUCAUGGCCCUUAUAGGUGGGGCUACACACGUCAUACAAUGGCUGGUACAAAGGGUUGCCAACCCGCGAGGGGGAGCCAAUCCCAUAAAGCCAGUCGUAGUCCGGAUCGCAGUCUGCAACUCGACUGCGUGAAGUCGGAAUCGCUAGUAAUCGUGGAUCAGCAUGUCACGGUGAAUACGUUCCCGGGUCUU